CUCCAGUUUUCACUCCGUACUUUUCGGUAAAUUUCUCCGUUUUAUCUAAACAGUUGCGGGGAAAAAAACAUUUCCAAAUUCAAAAGGCUUUUUGCUGUAGUUCUGCCACUGAAAAAACAUCAACAACAAAACUAACGGAUCCUCAGCACCAUGAAUCAGGAUCAUCUUAAACUGUUUGUCUCAUGUCUGCCACCGUCAUGAAGAUGUCAAGAGAUCACCAGUAACAAGCUCAUAAUGAUCUGAAUAUGACUCAGGUAAAAUACAUAAUGCCUUUGAAGGUUAUGUUGAGAAAUGGAGCUUCACAUCAAUUAGAAUUAGCACCCAGAUUAAACUUAUCUAGCUAAAGGCUAAUCACUUUGUAAUGCAAUUCAUUUUAAGCUUCAAAUAACUCCAAUUGUUUUUGAAUUUGCAUCUUAAAUGGCAAUGACUCGAUACAAGCUACAUCUAAGUCCAAAGCUUGACUUACCCUUAGCGUUUAUUUUUUAAAUUUUAAUCCCAAAUUUGAUAAAACUGCUUGACCUUACCCCUUCUGAUUUUUUCAUU